AGUGAACGCUGGCGGUAGGCCUAACACAUGCAAGUCGAACGGCAGCACAGGAGAGCUUGCUCUCUGAGUGGCGAGUGGCGGACGGGUGAGGAAUACAUCGGAAUCUACUCUGUCGUGGGGGAUAACGUAGGGAAACUUACGCUAAUACCGCAUACGACCUACGGGUGAAAGCAGGGGACCUUCGGGCCUUGCGCGAUUGAAUGAGCCGAUGUCGGAUUAGCUAGUUGGCGGGGUAAAGGCCCACCAAGGCGACGAUCCGUAGCUGGUCUGAGAGGAUGAUCAGCCACACUGGAACUGAGACACGGUCCAGACUCCUACGGGAGGCAGCAGUGGGGAAUAUUGGACAAUGGGCGCAAGCCUGAUCCAGCCAUACCGCGUGGGUGAAGAAGGCCUUCGGGUUGUAAAGCCCUUUUGUUGGGAAAGAAAUCUAGCUGGCUAAUACCCGGUUGGGAUGACGGUACCCAAAGAAUAAGCACCGGCUAACUUCGUGCCAGCCGCCGCAGUAA
rnacentral:rRNA from 1 species